rnacentral:misc_RNA from 1 species
UUAAAUAAUUUAUAUUUUCACUCAGACUACAAUCUUCAGACAGAGUUCGAGGGUGUCUUCGGCGGGCGCGGGCCCGGGGGCAGAAGCCCCCCGGCGGCCAUAAGGCGGGCCCGCCGAAGCAACAAGGUAUAAUAAACACGGGUGGGAGGUUGGACCCAGAGGGCCCUCACUCGGUAAUGAUCCUUCCGCAGGUUCACCUACGGAAA